UAUAUACUCCCUCCGUCCGAAAAAACUUGUCAUCAAAAUGGACAAAAAGGAAUGUAUCUAGAAUUAAAAUACAUCUAGAUACAUCCCCUUUUAUUCAUUUUGAUGACAAGUAUUUUCGGACGGAGGGAGUAGAUA
rnacentral:pre_miRNA from 1 species